rnacentral:rRNA from 1 species
GCCCAGAUCUAAGGAAUAGCCACUGGAAACGGUGAGUAAUACCUUAUACGCCCUUCGGGGAAAGAUUUAUCGGAUUUGGAUCGGCCCGCGUUAGAUUAGAUAGUUGGUGGGGUAACGGCCUACCAAGUCUACGAUCUAUAGCUGGUUUUAGAGGAUGAUCAGCAACACUGGGACUGAGACACGGCCCAGACUCCUACGGGAGGCAGCAGUGGGGAAUCUUGGACAAUGGGCGCAAGUGAUCCAGCCAUGCCGCGUGAGUGAUGAAGGCCUUAGGGUCGUAAAGCUCUUUCGCCUGUGAAGAUAAUGACGGUAGCAGGUAAAGAAACCCCGGCUAACUCCGUGCCAGCAGCCGCGGUAAUACGGAGGGGGUUAGCGUUGUUCGGAAUUACUGGGCGUAAAGCGCACGUAGGCGGAUUGGAAAGCUAGAGGUGAAAUCCCGGGGCUCAACCCCGAACUGCCUUUAGAACUAUCAGUCUAGAGUUCGAGAGAGGUGAGUGGAAUUCCGAGUGUAGAGGUGAAAUUCGUAGAUAUUCGGAGGAACACCAGUGGCGAAGGGGCUCACUGGCUCGAUACUGACGCUGAGGUGCGAAAGUGUGGGGAGCAAACAGGAUUAGAUACCCUGGUAGUCCACACCGUAAACGAUGAAUGCCAGUCGUCGGGUAGCAUGCUAUUCGGUGACACACCUAACGGAUUAAGCAUUCCGCCUGGGGAGUACGGUCGCAAGAUUAAAACUCAAAGAAAUUGACGGGGGCCCGCACAAGCGUGGAGCAUGUGGUUUAAUUCGAAGCAACGCGCAGAACCUUACCAACCCUUGACAUCCUGUGCCACUACCAGAGAUGG